AUUGAACGCUGGCGGCAGGCCUAACACAUGCAAGUCGAACGGUAACAGGAAGCAGCUUGCUGCUUUGCUGACGAGUGGCGGACGGGUGAGUAAUGUCUGGGAAACUGCCCGAUGGAGGGGGAUAACUACUGGAAACGGUAGCUAAUACCGCAUAACGUCGCAAGACCAAAGAGGGGGACCUUAGGGCCUCUUGCCAUCGGAUGUGCCCAGAUGGGAUUAGCUAGUAGGUGGGGUAACGGCUCACCUAGGCGACGAUCCCUAGCUGGUCUGAGAGGAUGACCAGCCACACUGGACCUGAGACACGUUCCAGACUCCUACGGGGGGCAGCAGUGGGGAAUAUUGCACAAUGGGCGCAAGCCUGAUGCAGCAAUGCCGCGUGUAUGAAGAAGGCCUUCGGUUGUAAAGUACUUUCAGCGGGGAGGAAGGGAGUAAAGUUAAUACCUUUGCUCAUUGACGUUACCCGCAGAAGAAGCACCGGCUAACUCCGUG
rnacentral:rRNA from 1 species